UUCUAUUGCAUAUAGUUUUACGUUUUAGGGGUGUAAUAGUUUUAUAAAUUGUCUUAAUUAGGUCAAGGGUUCAGUAUCGUUAGGCCGAAAGCUACAACACUGUGAGAACCUGAAAUAUAUAUUCGUAGGUGAUCAAGAAUAACUUUGAUUUGGAGAUUAAGAAACUGGGAAGCACACAGAGGAAGUUUGCAGGUAACCUGGACACACAAUCCAACUCAAGUACUGGUACACAUAUCAGAACUUCAUGGCUAUAUUACCAGAAUUCUUGUAAGCUACUUUCUGACACAACCCACAGUCCGUCAUGUGUGAUCGAGUUUCAGGCUUACAAUAGACUCUGCAGUCUGUUGCUACAAGAUUGCCAAAAAUUGUAGUACAGAGAGCUGAGGAAAUAUUUCCUGCUGUAAAACAAAUCAUGGACUCCUUGGAUUCACAGAAAGAUGAACCAGGUUCGCAUAGUGAGGCAUGUGCAUCGUCGUCCCUAAAUGGAGUUCAGGCUGUCAACAUAAAAGUUGAAGAAUUCUCAGAUAAUGAAGAUGGGGAGGAUCCUGUGCUAAUGGCAGUUGUAGGAAUAAAGGCUGAAC